GUCUUGUUAGCUCAGUCGGUAGAGCACGCGACUUUUAAUCGUGGGGUCACGGGUUCAAGCCCCGUACAAGACU
rnacentral:tRNA from 1 species